rnacentral:lncRNA from 1 species
AUGUACCUCAUGUUUUCUUCCAUAAUGCAACACAAACUGAAGAACUCUGAACCAUAAUCAUCAUGUCACGACAGUUCUCAUUGGACAGGAGGUUGAAUGUCCCGAUGUUGACAUGGAUACUAACACUGACGUGAUGUUAUAACACAUUAAAACAGAGCUGUACAAUAGGCUAAGAUCAGCUAAAUGUAAUGACAUUACUUCAUGUUUAGAACACAGGUUUCAAAAAAUAGUUUUUAAAAGUCAGUUAAAUUGACCUAAAGUUAAUCAGAGAAAUUUCAUUAAAACAAGACUUCAGAUUGUGGUGUUUUUUUGUCCAAAAGCAAACCACAACUCAAGGUUGGUAGUAGUAGUGCUAGCUAUAACCUGUAGCUGCUAAAUGUGUUGAUCUAGCUGUAACCUGUAGCUGCUAAAUGUGUUGAUCUAGCUGAAACCUGUAGCUGCUAAAUGUGUUGAUCUAGCUAUAACCUGUAGCUGCUAAAUGUGUUGAUCUAGCUGUAACCUGUAGCUGCUAAAUGUGUUGAUCUAGCUAUAACCUGUAGCUGCUAAAUGUGUUGAUCUAACUAUAACCUGUAGCUUCUAAAUGUGUUGAUCUAGCAGUAACCUGUAGCUGCUAAAUGUGUUGAUCUAGCUGAAACCUGUAGCUGCUAAAUGUGUUGAUCUAACUAUAACCUGUAGCUGCUAAAUGUGUUGAUCUAGCAGUAACCUGUAGCUGCUAAAUGUGUUGAUCUAGCUGAAACCUGUAGCUGCUAAAUGUGUUGAUCUAGCUAUAACCUGUAGCUGCUAAAUGUGUUGAUCUAGCUGUAACCUGUAGCUGCUAAAUGUGUUGAUCUAGCUAUAACCUGUAGCUGCUAAAUGUGUUGAUCUAGCUAUAACCUGUAGCUGCUAAAUGUGUUGAUCUAGCUAUAACCUGUAGCUAGUACUACAGUAAAUGUGCAAGUCCAGAGAUAACAUUACAUAUCCGAGUUGAGGACAGAGGAGUGAGGUUAGAGUGGCCUAUGUUAAGCCAUGAGUAGUCAUAUCCAGGGUCUAGGGGUCAGGGGUCCAGGCCAAGGUCUAGGGGAUCCAGGCCAAGGUCUAGGGGUCGGGGAUCCAGGCCAAGGUCUAGGGGUCGGGGAUCCAGGCCAAGGUCUAGGGGUCGGGGAUCCAGGGCAAGGUCCAGGAGUCGGGUGUCCAGGCCAAGGUCCAGGGGUUGGGGAUCCAGGUCAAGGUCUAGGGGUUGGGGAUCCAGGUCAAGGUCUAGGUGUUGGGGAUCCAGGUCAAGAUCUAGGGGUUGGGGAUCCAGAUCAAGGUCUAGGGGUUGGGGAUCCAGAUCAAGAUCUAGGGGUUGGGGAUCCAGGUCAAGAUCUAGGGGUUGGGGAUCCAGGUCAAGAUCUAGGGGUUGGGGAUCAAGGCCAAGGUCUAGGGGUUGGAGGUCCAGGCCAAGGGGGUCCAGGCCAAGAUCUAGGGGUCGGGAAUCCAGGCCAAGGUCUAGGGGUUGGCGGUCUGAGGGUCUGUUGGGCUAGGAGUUUGGUCCAGGGCCUCCAACUUGGGGGGGCGGUCUGGGGCUCCAAGGGGGGUGGUCUAAUGGGACUCUGUCCCGACUAAGAAGCCCUCUCCUCGGGGUGAAGUUGACCGUGAGACCCCUCUCUCAGUGUUGUUGUCUGAGCUGGAGCCACUGUGGUGUUCUGCAGACACAGACACAGUGCUGGAGGGGGUGGUAGAGGAGGGGGGUGUGGUGGUGCUGGUGGAGGAGGGGGGAGGUUUGGUUUUCUCCUUAAAGUCUGUGAUGAUGACAGUCAGGUCUCCAACCGUGACCUCUAGGUGCUGAGCGCUGCUCCUGUCAAUAUUUUUUUAACCUGGGCCUGAUGGAGGGAGAGGAGACAGGUGGAUGUUAUAAGCCUUUGACAGAGAGAGAGAGAGAGGAUGGGGUAAACCACACAAACUGGAGCGCUUAUGAAAUA